rnacentral:rRNA from 1 species
AGACCCGAAACCCGGUGAUCUAGCCAUGGGCAGGUUGAAGGUUGGGUAACACUAACUGGAGGACCGAACCGACUAAUGUUGAAAAAUUAGCGGAUGACCUGUGGCUGGGGGUGAAAGGCCAAUCAAACCGGGAGAUAGCUGGUUCUCCCCGAAAGCUAUUUAGGUAGCGCCUCGUGAAUUCAUCUCCGGGGGUAGAGCACUGUUUCGGCUAGGGGGUCAUCCCGACUUACCAACCCGAUGCAAACUGCGAAUACCGGAGAAUGUUAUCACGGGAGACACACGGCGGGUGCUAACGUCCGUCGUGAAGAGGGAAACAACCCAGACCGCCAGCUAAGGUCCCAAAGUCAUGGUUAAGUGGGAAACGAUGUGGGAAGGCCCAGACAGCCAGGAUGUUGGCUUAGAAGCAGCCAUCAUUUAAAGAAAGCGUAAUAGCUCACUGGUCGAGUCGGCCUGCGCGGAAGAUGUAACGGGGCUAAACCAUGCACCGAAGCUGCGGCAGCGACACUCAGGUGUUGUUGGGUAGGGGAGCGUUCUGUAAGCCUGCGAAGGUGGCCUGUGAGGGUUGCUGGAGGUAUCAGAAGUGCGAAUGCUGACAUAAGUAACGAUAAAGCGGGUGAAAAGCCCGCUCGCCGGAAGACCAAGGGUUCCUGUCCAACGUUAAUCGGGGCAGGGUGAGUCGACCCCUAAGGCGAGGCCGAAAGGCGUAGUCGAUGGGAAACGGGUUAAUAUUCCCGUACUUGGUGUUACUGCGAAGGGGGGACGGAGAAGGCUAUGUUGGCCGGGCGACGGUUGUCCCGGUUUAAGCGUGUAGGUGUGUGUUCCAGGUAAAUCCGGUUCACUUUAACACUGAGGC